rnacentral:tRNA from 1 species
GUGCCUGUAGCUCAGUGGAUAGAGCACCUGCCUCCUAAGCAGGGGGUCGUGGGUUCAAGUCCCGCCAGGCACACCA